CGAACGUUAGCGGCGCGCCUAACACAUGCAAGUCGCACGNGAAAGGGAGCAAUCCCCGGUACAGUGGCGCACGGGUGAGUAACACGUAGAUGACCUUCCCUGGAGUGGUGGAUAACCUGCCGAAAGGCGGGCUAAUACAGCAUGGGACCACAUGGUUUUGACCGAGUGGUGAAAGCGGGCCUCUGUUCACAAGCUCGCGCUCUGGGAUGGGUCUGCGUCCCAUCAGCUAGUUGGUGAGGUAAUGGCUCACCAAGGCAUCGACGGGUAGCUGGUCUGAGAGGAUGACCAGCCACACUGGAACUGAGACACGGUCCAGACUCCUACGGGAGGCAGCAGUGGGGAAUCUUGCGCAAUGGGCGAAAGCCUGACGCAGCGACGCCGCGUGGGUGAUGAAGGCCUUCGGGUUGUAAAGCCCUGUGGGGAGGAACGAACCGUACGGGGGCGAAUACCCUCCGUACCUGACGGUACCUCCUUAGCAAGCAUCGGCUAACUCUGUG
rnacentral:rRNA from 1 species